rnacentral:rRNA from 1 species
AGUGAACGCUGGCGGUAGGCCUAACACAUGCAAGUCGAACGGCAGCACAGUAAGAGCUUGCUCUUACGGGUGGCGAGUGGCGGACGGGUGAGGAAUGCAUCGGAAUCUACUUUUUCGUGGGGGAUAACGUAGGGAAACUUACGCUAAUACCGCAUACGACCUACGGGUGAAAGCAGGGGAUCUUCGGACCUUGCGCGAUUGAAUGAGCCGAUGUCGGAUUAGCUAGUUGGCGGGGUAAAGGCCCACCAAGGCGACGAUCCGUAGCUGGUCUGAGAGGAUGAUCAGCCACACUGGACCUGAGACACGGUCCAGACCACUCCGGUAGGCAGCAGUGGGGAAUAUUGGACAACGGGAGCAAGCCUGACCCAGCCAUACCGCGUGGGUGAAGAAGGCCUUCGGUUUGUAUAGCCCUUUUGUUGGGAAAGAAAAGCAGCAGGUUAACACCCCGCUGUUCUGACGGUACCCAAAGAAUAAGCACCGGCUAACUUCGUG